GAGCGGUAGCACAGGAGAGCUUGCUCUCUGGGUGACGAGCGGCGGACGGGUGAGUAAUGUCUGGGAAACUGCCUGAUGGAGGGGGAUAACUACUGGAAACGGUAGCUAAUACCGCAUAACGUCGCAAGACCAAAGAGGGGGACCUUCGGGCCUCUUACCAUCAGAUGUGCCCAGAUGGGAUUAGCUAGUAGGUGGGGUAAUGGCUCACCUAGGCGACGAUCCGUAACUGGUCUGAGAGGAUGAUCAGUCACACUGGAACUGAGACACGGUCCAGACUCCUACGGGAGGCAGCAGUGGGGAAUAUUGGACAAUGGGCGAAAGCCUGAUCCAGCCAUGCCGCGUGUGUGAAGAAGGUCUUCGGAUUGUAAAGCACUUUAAGUUGGGAGGAAGGGUUGUAGAUUAAUACUCUGCAAUUUUGACGUUACCGACAGAAUAAGCACCGGCUAACUCUGUGCCAGCAGCCGCGGUAAUACAGAGGGUGCAAGCGUUAAUCGGAAUUACUGGGCGUAAAGCGCGCGUAGGUGGUUCGUUAAGUUGGAUGUGAAAUCCCCGGGCUCAACCUGGGAACUGCAUUCGAAACUGGCAGGCUAGAGUCUUGUAGAGGGGGGUAGAAUUCCAGGUGUAGCGGUGAAAUGCGUAGAGAUCUGGAGGAAUACCGGUGGCGAAGGCGGCCCCCUGGACAAAGACUGACGCUCAGGUGCGAAAGCGUGGGGAGCAAACAGGAUUAGAUACCCUGGUAGUCCACGCCGUAAACGAUGUCGACUUGGAGGUUGUUCCCUUGAGGAGUGGCUUCCGGAGCUAACGCGUUAAGUCGACCGCCUGGGGAGUACGGCCGCAAGGUUAAAACUCAAAUGAAUUGACGGGGGCCCGCACAAGCGGUGGAGCAUGUGGUUUAAUUCGAUGCAACGCGAAGAACCUUACCUACUCUUGACAUCCAGAGAACUUAGCAGAGAUGCUUUGGUGCCUUCGGGAACUCUGAGACAGGUGCUGCAUGGCUGUCGUCAGCUCGUGUUGUGAAAUGUU
rnacentral:rRNA from 1 species